AUUGAACGCUGGCGGCAGGCCUAACACAUGCAAGUCGAACGAGUGGCGGACGGGUGAGUAAUGUCUGGGAAACUGCCUGAUGGAGGGGGAUAACUACUGGAAACGGUAGCUAAUACCGCAUACCAUCGGAUGUGCCCAGGUGGGAUUAGCUAGUAGGUGGGGUAAAGGCUCACCUAGGCGACGAUCCCUAGCUGGUCUGAGAGGGUGACCAGCCACACUGGAACUGGGACACGGGCCAGACUACUACGGGAGGCAGCAGUGGGGAAUAUUGCACAAUGGGCGAAAGCCGGAUGCAGCCAUGCCGCGUGUAUGAAGAAGGCCUUCGGGUUGUAAAAUACUUUCAGCGGGGAAGCGUUACCCACAGAGAAAGCACCGGCUAACUCCGUGCCAGCAGCCGCGGUAAUAC
rnacentral:rRNA from 1 species